rnacentral:rRNA from 2 species
CAGUCGAACGAACUCUGGUAUUGAUUGGUGCUUGCAUCAUGAUUUACAUUUGAGUGAGUGGCGAACUGGUGAGUAACACGUGGGAAACCUGCCCAGAAGCGGGGGAUAACACCUGGAAACAGAUGCUAAUACCGCAUAACAACUUGGACCGCAUGGUCCGAGCUUGAAAGAUGGCUUCGGCUAUCACUUUUGGAUGGUCCCGCGGCGUAUUAGCUAGAUGGUGGGGUAACGGCUCACCAUGGCAAUGAUACGUAGCCGACCUGAGAGGGUAAUCGGCCACAUUGGGACUGAGACACGGCCCAAACUCCUACGGGAGGCAGCAGUAGGGAAUCUUCCACAAUGGACGAAAGUCUGAUGGAGCAACGCCGCGUGAGUGAAGAAGGGUUUCGGCUCGUAAAACUCUGUUGUUAAAGAAGAACAUAUCUGAGAGUAACUGUUCAGGUAUUGACGGUAUUUAACCAGAAAGCCACGGCUAACUACGUGCCAGCAGCCGCGGUAAUACGUAGGUGGCAAGCGUUGUCCGGAUUUAUUGGGCGUAAAGCGAGCGCAGGCGGUUUUUUAAGUCUGAUGUGAAAGCCUUCGGCUCAACCGAAGAAGUGCAUCGGAAACUGGGAAACUUGAGUGCAGAAGAGGACAGUGGAACUCCAUGUGUAGCGGUGAAAUGCGUAGAUAUAUGGAAGAACACCAGUGGCGAAGGCGGCUGUCUGGUCUGUAACUGACGCUGAGGCUCGAAAGUAUGGGUAGCAAACAGGAUUAGAUACCCUGGUAGUCCAUACCGUAAACGAUGAAUGCUAAGUGUUGGAGGGUUUCCGCCCCUUCAGUGCUGCAGCUAACGCAUUUAAGCAUUCCGCCUGGGGGAGUACGGCCCGCAAGGCUGGAAACUCAAAAGGAAUUGACGGGGGGCCCGCACAAAGCGGUGGGAGC